UCAACCUUACAAGUUUCUGCCUUUUUUGAGUCGGUCGGAAUCCAAUUUCUUGCUCACAUAACCUAGCGUUUCCUGGAAAGGCUGGGGUUCGAAUUAUGGGGUUUUUGCAUACAAGAUUGGAAGCCCUUUCUUAUCAAGUUAACGGAAACCUACUGCUUGGAUUUGGCUCUCCCUCGCAUUGAACACAUAACUAUUGAAACAUAACUAGAUGCCAAUUCCUUUCUUCAGUUGGAAGAAAAUGGAAAACCC